GGGGGGACCAUCCUCCAAGGCUAAAUACUCCUGACUGACCGAUAGUGAACCAGUACCGUGAGGGAAAGGCGAAAAGAACCCCGGCGAGGGGAGUGAAAAAGAACCUGAAACCGUGUACGUACAAGCAGUGGGAGCACAGAGCAAUCUGUGUGACUGCGUACCUUUUGUAUAAUGGGUCAGCGACUUAUAUUCUGUAGCAAGGUUAACCGAAUAGGGGAGCCGAAGGGAAACCGAGUCUUAACUGGGCGUUAAGUUGCAGGGUAUAGACCCGAAACCCGGUGAUCUAGCCAUGGGCAGGUUGAAGGUUGGGUAACACUAACUGGAGGACCGAACCGACUAAUGUUGAAAAAUUAGCGGAUGACUUGUGGCUGGGGGUGAAAGGCCAAUCAAACCGGGAGAUAGCUGGUUCUCCCCGAAAGCUAUUUAGGUAGCGCCUCGUGAAUUCAUCUCCGGGGGUAGAGCACUGUUUCGGCAAGGGGGUCAUCCCGACUUACCAACCCGAUGCAAACUGCGAAUACCGGAGAAUGUUAUCACGGGAGACACACGGCGGGUGCUAACGUCCGUCGUGAAGAGGGAAACAACCCAGACCGCCAGCUAAGGUCCCAAAGUCAUGGUUAAGUGGGAAACGAUGUGGGAAGGCCCAGACAGCCAGGAUGUUGGCUUAGAAGCAGCCAUCAUUUAAAGAAAGCGUAAUAGCUCACUGGUCGAGUCGGCCUGCGCGGAAGAUGUAACGGGGCUAAACCAUG
rnacentral:rRNA from 1 species